CUAUGACUAUAUCACAAUGAAAACACUGAUUCUCAUACAAUCACCAAAGUUAAGUAAUGUGGAGCCUGGUCAGUACUUAGAUGGGUGACCACUUGAGAAUACCAGGUGCUGUAAG